UUCUGUGAACUGUAAAAUAGAUUUUACUGCAGCUCUGAUUUUUAAUGCAUGAACUUUCACCUCUAUCAUCUGUCUAUUUGUCUGUAUGUCAGUUCUUAACUGUCUUGUCUAUUAAUCUGUCUGUCUGUCUCAGGAUUAUGGCAAGCUGGUCGGAUUACUAAUCACCCACUUUUGAACAUGUUCAAGUAUUUAACAGUGUCUAAAUUGCUGUUCUUAAACUUAAAACGCAGAAAACAGCGGCGAAAAUCCCUUCUGAACGCUGUAUUUAAUGCUGUCUUCAUGGUGUUGUAAAAAAUGUUUUUUUCUGGUCAUUGAACGCUGCAUUGAGGCAACCCCGGCUUUCCACAGGAGCCGUCAGCAGCACGUUACUGCAGCAGCACGUCAUAGGCGCUGAUAGGAACCGCUGUGGUCAACAGAACCUUUUCCACUGGAGCCGUCAGCAGCGGGAGUCGGCCGCGUCUCAGGAGCAGCAUGUCGCGGCCUUUACGCGCCGGUUCUAUUUUCUACGCGCAACGCCUCUGAAACGGGUCAAGUUCGACAUUUUUGGGGAAGGAAAGACAGGAAAUCGGACGCGGAAAUGGAGAGAAGCUCCCGAGAUUUUCAGAAUAAAGAACGUACUGCCUUCCAGUUGCUUUACUUUUAAAAAAAGUUCCUAACUGCGGCCCCGUGAGAAGUUAUCACAUAGCUAGUGGUCUCCUUUGUUUUUCAGGUCCGUAUUGGCGAUUAUAAAACGGACAGAACAUAAAACACAAACCAUGUUGUAGUUUUCUCCUGCGUGUUGUUGUGUUUACUGAUGAAGUCACUCGUGUGACUUCGUGCUCUGUCGGUGACAGCUGCUCCCCUGCUGCUUCGCGUCUCGUGGGAAGGGCCAAGCAGCAGCUUACGCGAGCAAGACGUGCUGCUGCAGUAACGUGCUGCUGACGGCUCCUGUGGAAACCCGGGGUGACGCGUCCUCAGAACCGUGCAAAAGACUUUACUUUUGACAACAGAAAACACCGCUUUUUACGGCGUUCUGUGACUUUUCUGAUGGCAUAAAAGACGCCAUUUUAUUUUUGAUUGUGCAAGCCGUUCCUAAAGAAAGUAUUACCUCACAAUAAAAGAGAUGUAUUGAGUUUGCGUCCUCAACAUGUCAUUUUAUAGGUUAACCUAUAACCUUCCUUUAGCUGCGCUGAGCAAUGUCUAGCUCAGAUGUUCAGAUGGGAAUCUUUUCUUGGGUGAUUUAGCUACAUCUGCAAUGUGCAUAACGAAUAAGAUGUCAGAUCGUCUGCAUGCAUCGGGGUAAUUUUUUCUAUUCUUUCUCUGUCAAAAUUAACGGUCAAAUACGGGAACUGUCCGGUCAACACAACACAAACCCUGCUCUUGACUGUUUCGUUUUCUUGUGAAAAUUGUUGGAAAGAGAUAAAAUUUAACUUGAUUACCACCAGAGCCAGUGCGCCGUUAUCUCCGUGACUGUAAACGAGGGAAAAACAAAUUGAUCGGAUCCUGCACGUCUUUUAACACAUUGGUCAGGAUUGACGCAGUUUGUUUUCAUUUAGUUGGUUAAAAAAAAGUCGGGUUCGGGUCGGGCCAGAGAAUCCUGAAAACCUUUUCGGACCGGGUCGGGCUGGGGCUUCACCCCCUCGGGCCGGGCCGGACACGGGCUCAGAUUUUAGGCCCGUGCAGGGCUCUAGUUCUGAUUGGUCACCCAUAAACUAAACAUUUAUUAUGGCAGAUUAAAGAUACUGGGAGUGGAAAUGUGGAAAUGAGUUGGAACUGAUUUUUCUGAUUUGGAAACUAAAGGCAAGGACCUUUUGUCGUGAUCUGUGCUGCAUUACCAUCUCUGCUGAGUGUUGUUUACAGGUGGGUGUGUCUGGAGAGCCCAGCUGCGCCAAAUCAGCUCAUCAGCGAUCAGGGGAUUUAAGGAGCAGCAGGACAUCUCACCAGUGCCAGAUGAUACUCCGUCUUGGGUUCCAGUCAUCUGUUUAUCUCCACUCUCUGCCAUAUCUCCGGAACCAUCAACAACAUUCCAGUCCUGCCGUUUGCCCCUGAUCGCCAGCUCUCCGUCACCCACCUAUCUACCUGCAGCUCCUCGGUCUCCCCAUCCAGCCAGGUCUGACUAAACCCCCCUCAAUAUACCCGGAUCUUCCAGGAAACAGUAAGCCUUUUUAUUUCUCCAUCAUCGUCUCACGUUGCUCCACACUCUGACCUCUCUUCCUCUCUCAAACCCCCACGGAUCCCUCUAGUCCUGCAGAAGCUUCGUCUACCUCUCCCAUUCAUAAUAACUCAUUUAAACUUACCUUCUGUCUCUCGGUGGUGAUUCUUCAUGUCGUGGGUCAAGAAAUUAACCUCAAACAUGACACCUUUAGUUUUUUGUAAAAUAUGCAACAAUAAAAAUAACUAAAAUACAUUUGAAAAAGUUAGCAAUCAAUGAGAAGAAUCACAUUUGAAAUUUGUAUUCCAAAUAAGUUCAAGGUAAUUCUAAUGACAUCAGGAUAAUGUACACUGGUAAUAUGAUGUGUGUGAGGGACAAUUUUACUGAUCUUUAGGGAAUACAACUUAGGUUUGUGAUAAAUUAGAAAAUUUGCUUGUUUUUAUUUUACCUAAAAUGAGCUGCUAAAUAUCAGCAGUUUUCUUGCCCUGAUCGUGUUUUGUUGUGUU